rnacentral:rRNA from 1 species
UACGUAGGGGGCAAGCGUUGUCCGGAAUCACUGGGCGUAAAGCGCGCGCAGGCGGUCAUCUACGUCUGGGGUGAAAGCCCGGAGCUCAACUCCGGGAUUGCCUUGGAUACGGGAUGACUUGAGGAUCGGAGAGGCAAGGGGAAUUCCACGUGUAGCGGUGAAAUGCGUAGAGAUGUGGAGGAACACCUGUGGCGAAGGCGCCUUGCUGGCCGAUUUCUGACGCUGAGGCGCGAAAGCGUGGGGAGUAAACAGG